ensembl:lncRNA
GGAUGACCUUGCCCUUGCUUAACUCUCCUUCUUCUGUGCCGGCCCCAGCAUUCCUCGCCAGAUCCUCUGCUGUCCCUGGCCAACUCUUUGGCAUCUACAUCUUACACCCCCCUUUCCUCUGGCUCUGGUGAUGCCAGGAACCCGACAGCCCCAUGCGCCUGUUUCCAGCCUGGGGUCAGUCUGAGCAGCCAGGCUUGCUUACCGCACCAGCUGGGAUUCCCCUCCAGAAGCAUGCUUCGCGCAGAGCGGGCAACCUUCAAAGGAGCCACGUCUUCCUGGUUGCUGCCUCUGCAUCCUGAUCCAGUCUGAUGGUGUUUUUGCAGUUUUCCUGUCAGCUUGGAGGGGAGAAGUUCAAAGAGACUCUGUCUUCCUUUCUGGCUUCCUUUGCAGACAGAGCAGCUUUCUCUCUGCAGCUCCCCUGCCCCACCUCUCUCAAGGAAAUUGAUGUCUUUCCCACUCCUUCCCUCCCCUACAAAAGGUUCAUUCCUAAGGGUUAUACUGAAAACAGAUGAGGAAACCGAGGCACAGAGAGACUAUGUGCCCUGCCCAGUGUGGCUCCGCUGACAAACAGCAGGGCCUGGGUCAAGCUUGGGCAGCUGAGCCUUUAACUUCUCACUGGACUUCUGGAGGGAUCAGAGAGAGAAUGGACAACCUGGCUGGGACAAGUGAGCCAUCAGGUUUCUAGCUGGGCACCUGAGUGCAGCCUCACCUGAAGCAGGCAUAGACGACUUACAAGAAAGUCAUUUCUGUCACAAUCACCUAAUACCCCACGAACCUCAGAGGAGCUGCUUUAAGGGCUCAACUGCCACCCCGCAUGUGAAAUGUAGAAUAACAU